GAGAUUCAGGACACAUCCAAGGGUGACAGCUUGAGGUUGGGUUUUUAUUUUUUUAUUUGUAUAGUACAAUCUCUGUGGUAGCAGAAAUAUAUGCACAAAAAACAAUUCAGAGUUCAGAGUAAAAAAAAGUCAGCUAAGACUGUAUCCCGCGGGACAUUUCAUAUAUAUGGAUUUCACAGCUACACUCGAUCCACGCCCCACACCACAUACAGGCUGCUGUCUCCCACAAGAAUGAUGAUGUCAGGGGCAUCAGGAAAGGAGGGGAGAGCUCUGCUCCACACGCAGGCGGCCUUGGCUGCUCCAGAGCAAUCCGCUGCUCCAGCUUCAGCCAUGGGACCAAGAGGGUAGAGGAGCAGCUUCCGGAGGCCCCAGGCAGAGGCCACCUUGCAGCAGUGACUGGCGACUUCGCAGUACAUCUCUGCUCACUUGCCGUCCCUUGGGAGUGAGCACCGUCUAUAACACAUAGCCAUCUACAAAAGCCUGGUCACAGUGUUCACCAGCACAUUCAUGAAAAUUUAAAUCAACAUUAACCAAAGUACCUGCAAGUAACACUGCUUACUCUUGCUGUUUGCCUCAUCUGACUGGAAACCUUAGCCCCCAAAUAUGAAAUGCCUUCUCUAGAUUAAAAGGAUUCAGAGAUGUUGCACUAUUGCACUAUA
rnacentral:antisense_RNA from 1 species